UAUCCUUAUUUGCCAGCGCGUAAAGGCGGGAACUAUAGGGAGACUGCCGGUCAAAAACCGGAGGAAGGCGGGGACGAGGUCAAGUCAUCAUGGCCCUUAUAGGUUGGGCUACACACGUGCUACAAUGGGAUGUACAGAGGGUUGCUAAAGCGCGAGCUGGAGCCAAACCCUUAAAGCAUUUCGUAGUCCGGAUUGGAGUCUGCAACUCGACUCCAUGAAGUCGGAAUCACUAGUAAUCGCGAAUCAGAAUGUCGCGGUGAAUACGUUC
rnacentral:rRNA from 1 species